GGUCUCUUUCACUGGCAGGACUGGAUGAAGAGAAGUCUGCCACGCUGGAGAGGGAUCUUGGGAAGAGAGGCACUUACUAACUCUUUCGUGUCCCUGUCAAUGGGACUUGAAAGGGAGCCCCAGCGCCGGAGUCAAAUGGAUAUGUGACCAUCGCAGGCUUCAUUCUCAG